rnacentral:rRNA from 1 species
GACGUAGGGGGCAAACGUUACUCGGAAUUACUGGGCGUAAAGGGUGUGUAGGCGGCCGAGCCUGUCAAAGAUGAAAUCCCGAGGCUCAACUUCGGAAUUGUCUUUGAAACUGCUCGGCUUGAGGAUAGUCGAGGAGAAUGGAAUUCCCGGUGGAGCGGUGAAAUGCGUAGAUAUCGGGAGGAACACCCGAGGCGUAAGCGAUUCUCUAUCCUAUUCCUGACGCUGAGACACGAAAGCUAGGGGAGCGAACGGG